rfam:Gossypium arboreum cultivar AKA8401 contig_52857_1, whole genome shotgun sequence.
AGUUAAAAAUUUUAUCCAUCUUUAUUAUUAAAAAUUAGUGUGGUUAACAGAACAACUAGACAGUUACAUGUGCAUGACAUAUGCACCUCAUUCUAACAUACAAUGAUCAAUUUUUAAUAGUAGAAAUUGAUUAAUUUUUUAACA